rnacentral:tRNA from 1 species
GCGCCCAUAGCUCAGUGGAUAGAGCGCUUCCUUGCGGAGGAAGAAGUCGUAGGUUCAAAUCCUACUGGGCGUA